CAUAAAAGAAAAUCAAAACAUCAAUAUGAAAAUAUUCAUUCAAUUUACUAAUAUAAACGCUUUAGAGUCGCUUAUGUGAUAUGGUAAUAUUUGAACCAUAAUCAAAAUUAGAAGACUUAACAUCUUUCCCGCAUGAUGUGAUAGUAAAUUGAAAUAUAGCCAUCAUUUUGAUAUUCUUGAUAUAUACUAAGUACAAUUUUCCAUAACUUUAGAUCUUCAAGCUUCCUAAAUGGGAGAUACUAAGCAACAACAAACCAAAUUUACAACCUCUACAAGAGGGGACAAAAUUUUUCGUAAUUAAGAGAGAGAAACUCUCAUCAAAAGAGACUAAUUCAUGACACAAAGUAAGAAAACGAACUAACUACAAAUUAUAAGAGAGAAAAACAUACAACUAUUGACUACUCUACACUAAAUAAUAGGUGCAUACUAUUACCAAUGAUUUAUUCAAUUGAAAAUUUAAAUUAGUAUUACAUAUAUAUUGUCAAUCAGGUUAGUCAUAUUAGAUUAAUAUAUGUUAUUUUCAAUUUAGGUCGCUUUAAAAUCAAGUCAAACGUCGCUUGUUCAAAACUCAAAGUCCAAGUGAGACUCUGAGAAUUAGGCAAAACAUGUACUACCUUCAUUUCAUAUUACAUGCAACAUUUCUCGUCAACUUUCUCCUCUUUGAACCCAUCGUUUGCCUUUUUUCUAUUUUUUGUUAUAUCUUCCGUUUACUUUCUCUUUUUUUUUUCUUUUUACCCAUGUCAUCCCCUUUUUAAAUUUCGGCUUUGUUCUUUUGGACUGAAUUAAUGAAAAUUCAGUUCAUUUUAGGAAAGUUAAGUUUAGUUCAGUUGGCUUCCUAUUACAAUUUUCAUUCAAUUCAUUCACUUCAGUCGAGACAAGUUAAUUCGAGUUCAAUUCAGUUUGAACAAAUUCAGUUCACGUAAAUUCAGUCCAAAAGAACCGAGACUGAUGUAGGCCCACUACUUAGCAGUCUCGUCCUAUUGGCCGAAAAAGAUUUUGAAGCUUGGCGCCAAAGGAAAUGGCCUCCGUCCUUCGGCCAUAGCUGCUAGCGGCCAUUGAUUCCCUCUUAAACCUCAAUUUUACUCAUUCAGAAGCUUAAUUAUGAAGACGUUGGCAGCUACUAUCCUUGCAGAUUCAGGUAUAUAUGCUUGCCUAGUCAGUUACCAUUCAAUAGAGAUGGACAAGCUGACCUGAGAAGUGCAGCCAUGAGGAAAGUGAGAGCUGGAACAGAAUUCUGAACAGCGGACGCAAAGGUGGGAGACGUGUUGUCCAAACCCAGCAAGUAGAAUCCUU